UGCGUAGGUGGUUUCUUAAGUCAGAGGUGAAAGGCUACGGCUCAACCGUAGUAAGCCUUUGAAACUGGGAAACUUGAGUGCAGGAGAGGAGAGUGGAAUUCCUAGUGUAGCGGUGAAAUGCGUAGAUAUUAGGAGGAACACCAGUUGCGAAGGCGGCUCUCUGGACUGUAACUGACACUGAGGCACGAAAGCAUGGGUAGAAACA
rnacentral:rRNA from 1 species